CGCCCCGAUUCGCCGGAAAAUCCAACUAUUUCCAAAAAUUCUCAAAAAAUACAGAAUUGAAGAUCUCAAUGAGUAAAGUAAACUUUAUACCUGAGGCCAAGGCCAAUUUGGCUUGGAGACACUUCAAUUUCACCCAAAUCCGUGCGGAACCCUAGAAUUGGGUGAGUUCCAAUUCGUCCUCAAAUCAACUCCAAUGCUCCAACUAAUGCUUGGGCUUUGUUCUAGGCCUCAAGAGGAAGCUAUGGGUGGUGGCAAUUGAAAGAAAUUGCUUCGGGAUUGGGUGAAACGCGAACAAGAAAGUCGCGG
rnacentral:lncRNA from 1 species